UCUACAAAAAUCCUCAGCCCCUGGUGUUAGUCUCCAGAAUUCAGAAGUUAAAUGCCUACUCUUCGCAGAUGACCUAUGCCUGCUGUCACCCACAGCACAUAGCCUACAGCAGAGCCUGGAUCUGCUAGAGCAGUACUGCCAGACCUGGACCCUGGCAGUAAACCCCAAAAAGACUAAAAUAAUGAUUUUCCAGAGAAGAUCCAGAUCUCAGGGAAUUAGACCAAAGUUCUCAAUUGGUACAAAAUAUAUAGAGUACUGUACACACUACAAUUAGUUAGGUUUAAAAAAACAAGCUCAAAUGGACACCUUAAUGAGGCAGUGAAUGAAGCUGAGAGAGAAAGCAUGCAGGGCAUUCUACACCAUUAAAAAACAAAUUCAAAUUGAAAUACCUAUUUAAAUUUGGCAAAAACGAAUUGAAUGUGUCAUUGAACCACUUGCACUUUAUGCCAGUGAGGUGUGGGGUCCACUUUAUGCCAGCGAGGUGUGGGGUCCACUUUAUGCCAGCGAGGUGUGGGGUCCACUUUAUGCCAGCGAGGUGUGGGGUCCACUUUAUGCCAGCGAGGUGUGGGGUCCACUUUAUGCCAGCGAGGUGUGGGGUCCACUUUAUGCCAGCGAGGUGUGGGGUCCACUUUAUGCCAGCGAGGUGUGGGGUCCACUUUAUGCCAGCGAGGUGUGGGGUCCACUUUAUGCCAGCGAGGUGUGGGGUCCACUUUAUGCCAGCGAGGUGUGGGGUCCACUUUAUGCCAGCGAGGUGUGGGGUCCACUUUAUGCCAGCGAGGUGUGGGGUCCACUUUAUGCCAGCGAGGUGUGGGGUCCACUUGCAAAACAAGAUUUCAUCAAAUGGAUCAAACACCCCAUUGAAACCCUGCAUGCAGAGUUCUGUAAGAUUCUCCUAGAGGAAAACUACAAACAAUGCAGGGCAGAAUUAGGUUAAUAUCCACUACUAAUAAGAACUCAAAAAAGAGCAAUUAAGUUUUGUAAACACCUAAAAUAGUGACCCCACUCAUAUAAAUUACCAAGCCCUGUAAUGCCAACAGCUGAGCAAAAGAAAAGAGUCCCCUCAUCCAGCUGGUCCUGGGGCUGAGUUCACAAACUUGUUCUACUAACACACUGAAGCCUCAGUCCCCUCAUCCAGCUGGUCCUGGGGCUGAGUUCACAAACCUGUUCUACUAACACACUGAAGCCUCAGGACCAGAACAUCCAAUCAAUCAGAAUAAAACAAAUUACAACACAAUCAUUGCUUAUUGGGAAACACAAGUACAGUGCUAUCUGGCCAUGAAUCGACAGCACACCGUGGUUAACUAUUUGACAAUGAUUACUGAUCAAAACCUUGACAAAGUACAGGCUCAGUGAGCACAGCCUUGUCAUUGAGAAGGGUAGACACAGGAACAUGUGGCUCCCUGUAGAG